rnacentral:miRNA from 1 species
GCUAUCUUUGCACUUUCAUUAUUUAGUCUCAGAUAGAGAUACCUCCUCUGAAUUCAUAGAAGCUGUUUUCAGCUCCAGAGGGAUUCAGAAGUGAUAAAUCCAG